AAGUCGAAACAAGGUUUCUGUAGGUAAACCUGUAGAAGGAUUAUUAUUGUAGGGCUUUGGCCCUGUUAAGAUAGAACUCUUGCCUUUAUAAGUACUGUCUGUUUCCUCAGCAGGUCUACCUGCUGAUAGACCCAAAACUAAACCCUUUUAUUACCUGUAUUAGUCUGAAAAAAUAAACAAAAAUUAAAA
rnacentral:misc_RNA from 1 species